UUCGGACUUUAGUGGCGGACGGGUGAGUAACGCGUGAGAAUCUGGCUUUAGGUCGGGGACAACAGUUGGAAACGACUGCUAAUACCGGAUAUGCCGAGAGGUGAAAGAUUAAUUGCCUGAAGAAGAGCUCGCGUCUGAUUAGCUAGUUGGUGGGGUAAGAGCUUACCAAGGCGACGAUCAGUAGCUGGUCUGAGAGGACGAUCAGCCACACUGGGACUGAGACACGGCCCAGACUCCUACGGGAGGCAGCAGUGGGGAAUUUUCCGCAAUGGGCGAAAGCCUGACGGAGCAAUACCGCGUGAGGGAGGAAGGCUCUUGGGUUGUAAACCUCUUUUCUGAGGGAAGAAAAAAAUGACGGUACCUCAGGAAUCAGCAUCGGCUAACUCCGUGCCAGCAGCCGCGGUAAUACGGAGGAUGCAAGCGUUAUCCGGAAUGAUUGGGCGUAAAGCGUCCGCAGGUGGCAUUUCAAGUCUGCGGUCAAAGGUCGAGGCUCAACCUCGAACAGGCCGUGGAAACUGAAAAGCUAGAGUGUGGUAGGGGCAGAGGGAAUUCCCAGUGUAGCGGUGAAAUGCGUAGAGAUUGG
rnacentral:rRNA from 1 species